rnacentral:rRNA from 1 species
CCUACGGGUGGCAGCAGUGAGGAAUAUUGGUCAAUGGACGGAAGGCUGAACCAGCCAAGCCGCGUGAAGGAUGAAGGUGCCAAGCGUUGUAAACUGCUUUUGUCAAAGGACAAACUCAGACUCGAGAGCCUGAUCGAGGGUAUCGUAAGAAAAAGCAUCGGCUAACUCCGUGCCAGCAGCCGCGGUAAUACGGAGGAUGCGAGCGUUAUCCGGAUUUAUUGGGUUUAAAGGGUGCGUAGGCGGGCUGUUAAGUGAGCGGGGAAAUGCCGGGGCUCAAACCCGAGCUAGCCUUUAAUACUGUUUGUCUUGAGACGUGUAGAGGUAUGCGGAAUGCAUAGUGUAGCGGUGAAAUGCUUAGAGAU